rnacentral:tRNA from 2 species
UCUGGCCGGGCGGCGGGCCGCCGCCUGCCCUCUGGGGGCGGGCCCGUCGAGGUCGUCGUCCGUGACGACGGGCUGGGGC